AUUGAACGCUGGCGGAAUGCUUUACACAUGCAAGUCGAACGAUGAACCUUAGCUUGCUAAGGGGAUUAGUGGCGAACGGGUGAGUAAUAUAUCGGAACGUACCUUGUAGUGGGGGAUAACUAGUCGAAAGAUUAGCUAAUACCGCAUACGCACUGAGGGGGAAAGUAGGGGAUCUUCGGACCUUACGUUAUAAGAGCGGCCGAUAUCUGAUUAGUUAGUUGGUGGGGUAAUGGCCUACCAAGGCGACGAUCAGUAGCUGGUCUGAGAGGACGACCAGCCACACUGGAACUGAGACACGGUCCAGACUCCUACGGGAGGCAGCAGUGGGGAAUUUUGGACAAUGGGCGCAAGCCUGAUCCAGCCAUUCCGCGUGAGUGAAGAAGGCCUUCGGGUUGUAAAGCUCUUUCGCAAGGGAAGAAAACUUACAUUCUAAUAAAGUGUGAGGCUGACGGUACCUUGAUAAGAAGCACCGGCUAACUACGUGCCAGCCGCCGCCGUAA
rnacentral:rRNA from 1 species